GUGCAGGCCGGGUGACCGCGGGUCUCUGCUGGCUUCGGCUGACGGAGGCUCGAGGAAAGUCCGGACACCACAGGGCAGGACGCUGGUUCGUCUCGCGAGAGGCGCCCCAGGCGGCGAAAGCCGACGGAAAGUGGAACAGAAAGGAGACCGCCGGCCGAGGGCAACCGAGGUCGGUAAGGGUGAAACGGUGGGGUAAGAGCCCACCAGCGGUCGUGGCGACACGGCCGGCUUGCCAAACCCCGUCCGGUGCAAGGUGAAGCAGGCUCCGCUGACGCGGCCCGCCGAGGAGCCGGGUACACCGCCAAGAGAGAUGGUCACCCUCGACAGAAUCCGGCUUACAGGCCUGCUACAGAA
rnacentral:RNase_P_RNA from 1 species